CCAAGCGCCACCUGACCUCUCGCCUUGGGCAGAGCAGCACCGGCGGCAGAGCUUCGAGGAUGAGGCCGACGCGGCACCGGAGCGGCCACGACAGCUUUAUUGGUGUUGCUGUUUUUGUCAAUGCUGACGUCGAGAGACAACCCAUUAGCUGCGGCGGCGGGGGAGUGAGAGUGGGCGCCAACUCGGUGGCGGACUCAACCGGAGACUGAUUCUUCGCGGCGAAGGGCGAGUCGUCGACGUUGGAGGCCGAGUUGGCGGAGAAAGCCUGGAACCCAAUAAUGCUCUUCAGAUCUUGCUGCUCGACUCCGUCGAAGUAGGUGGCGCCGUGGUGGUGGACGUAGAUGUGGGUCAGGGAGGAAUCUUGAGUUUCCGUCAAGUCGCCGGCGGCGGCGAAGGAAUCCUCUCUAAAUUCAAUUCAAUUCAAUUCAAUUCAAUUCAAUUCAAUCGUCGAGUCACUAGGUGUCACUUGUGCAAUUCAAUCCAAUUCUCUU